rnacentral:rRNA from 1 species
AGUGAACGCUGGCGGUAGGCCCAACACAUGCAAGUCGAACGGCAGCACAGUAAGAGCUUGCUCUUACGGGUGGCGAGUGGCGGACGGGUGGGGAAUACAUCGGAAUCUACUUUUUCGUGGGGGAUAACGUAGGGAAACUUACGCUAAUACCGCAUACGACCUACGGGUGAAAGCAGGGGAUCUUCGGACCUUGCGCGAUUGAAUGAGCCGAUGUCGGAUUAGCUAGUUGGCGGGGUAAAGGCCCACCAAGGCGACGAUCCGUAGCUGGUCUGAGAGGAUGAUCAGCCACACUGGAACUGAGACACGGUCCAGACUCCUACGGGAGGCAGCAGUGGGGAAUAUUGGACAAUGGGCGCAAGCCUGAUCCAGCCAUACCGCGUGGGUGAAGAAGGCCUUCGGGUUGUAAAGCCCUUUUGUUGGGAAAGAAAAGCAGCAGGUUAAUACCCCGCUGUUCUGACGGUACCCAAAGAAUAAGCACCGGCUAACUUCGUG